UACAUACUCCCUCCGUUCCAAAAUAGAUGACUCAACUUUGUACUAACUUUAGUACAAAAUUGAGUCAUCUAUUUUGGAACGGAGGGAGUAUAUG
rnacentral:pre_miRNA from 1 species